ensembl:lncRNA
AUGAACAUGUGGUCGCAUCACUGGAGCCUGGACACCGAUCCGGACUUGAGACUUCCCUUGGUCAAUAACUCUGUAACCCCUGGCCAGGGCUGGUCUCUCGCACUCACCCAGCUUCCGACGUACCCAUGUCCCCUCACAGUACUCUUGACGAUUAGACCACCUUCCGAAGCAACUGGAACAUUCUCGACGUUACCUUCGGAGGCUCCAUGCAGCCCACCCGACCGCACGGUGAGAAUUCUCACGAAGCAUCUGGAAUGGUUUUGCUCUUCUGAGGUGGCCGUAAAUACAGCUUCCCUACAGCGUCCAUGUGAGGAAAAUUCGUUUUGUGGGAAAUCAGGGGCUGUGCAAAAAUCUAAUAAUGACGGGGGAGCGGGGGGAGGCCGAGAAAUAGAUUUCUGCGGAACCCAGAGAUUACUGCACCGUCCCCAGCUCUCUGUUGUUCCUUGGGAUGAGCUCAGUUUUUCCUCCCAGGGAAGAAGCCAAGUGUUUCUAAGGACAGACUGUCUAUGUCAUUUUCCACAGCUGCGGGCUGGUGUUAGCGACGUGGUCCCGACGUGGCUGAGCAGACCCGAGGGAUGGUUCGGAUCGAAGCAGGGGCAGAGUGGGGCCCGAACACAACCAGCAGCCCCGGAACGUAGGCCACACUCUCUGGAGCCUCAGGACGUGGAUAUCCGAGGACCAGGCGGAGGGGAGCCCUUCGGGGAGAGGGUGAUGUCAGCAUUUUUCCAUGGGUGGCGUCCUUUUGCAAGAAUUCCUCAGACAUCGGAGAAAGCUACCGGGCAGAGAAAGCUACCCUGAGAAAGCACAGGAUGUCAGCACUCAGGGCCGAGCAGAGGCGCUGGAUGGGACCCCAGCCUGGUGCUCCCUUCCAGGGUCGGUCGGAGCUGUCUGCCCGCUCAUGCCAAGCUUCCUCCCACGGGGCCUUCCGAAGCUUUCCACAGCUUCAACAUCAACGACACUUUUGUCUGCUCCUCUUGGGGGAGAGGGCUGGAGAGUCUGUUUUUUGUGUCCUUGAUGGAUCCGGCCCAAGUUCGAUGGACCCAUGUACUUGCUCAGUUUCCCUGGAUGGCCCUGCUCCAAGAACAGCUCAGAAGCCAAGGAAAUCGAAAUCCCUGCCUCUGAAGCCAAAAUGGACAGGCUGUUUCCUGAUACUCUGUGUGUGUGUAUGUGUGUAUGUGUGUGAGUGUGUGUGUGUGUGUGUGUGAAGGGAGUCUCAACCUGUGAGUUUAUUUCUGCGAUCGUACGAAACAGCUCGGUGCACAGUACAGCACUGUUUCCCUGCUGCUCUCAUGCCAAGUGGAUGAGCUGUCCCGCCCCAGCUGCCUCCGUGGUGAAGAAGAAGAAGUGACCGAAUGAACAUGUUUACAAAUGAAUUCAACCAACAACUGGACCAGAGCUUUGUUGAUGAAAAUAACCGAUGUUUCCGUAAAUGGGCAGGUUCCUCGGGUGUGAGCUGGGUCGUAGGUAAUUUGUUCCUCGUACUAAUUGCCAAUGUACCAGGGUUUGCAACUGAUUUCGCUGCGAUAGAACAUGCGUGACAUAAACCCCGCCAUGUGUACCAUGUCGAGGUGUAUACUUCUGUGGGUUAAAUGCAUUCACAUUGUUGAAUGACCAGUACCACCAUCCGUCUUCAGAACUUUUCAUCCUCCCAAACGGAAACUCCACACCCAGUAAACAGUAAAUCCCCAUCCCCUUUCCCCCAGCCUCUGGCAACCUUUAUUCUUUCUGGAAAACGACUUUAGAGUAUAUCCUAGAUUAUCCUUAUGCCAUCCCUCACAUUUAUCUAUUUACCUAUUCAUUUAACAAAUAUUUACUGAGUGCCCGUGCCAGAAAUUGAACAAAACACAUGCCCAUGUGAAGCUUAUGUGCUUAGGCGAUAAACCAGUUAAAAAAAUACAGGGGCGCGUGGGUGGCUCAGUCGGUUAGGCGUCCGACUUCGGCUCAGGUCAUGAUCUCAUGGCUCCUGAGUUCGAGCCCCGUGCCGGGCUCUGUGCUGACAGUUCAGAGCCCGGAGCCUGCUUCGGAUUCUGUGUCUCCCUCUCUUUCUGUCCCUCCCCCCACCCAAGCACUCUCACUCUCUCUCUCUCAAAAAUAAACAUUUAAAAAUUUAAAAAAAUGUGUAUGUA